rnacentral:rRNA from 1 species
GGUCAAAAAAAUAAGGUUAAGUUAAUAAGGGCGCACGGUGGAUGCCUUGGCACUAGGAGCCGAAGAAGGACGUGACAAACGACGAUAUGCCUUGGGUAGCUGUAAGUAAGCGAUGAUCCAGGGAUUUCCGAAUGGGGGAACCCAACAGGUACUACCUGUUACCCAUAUCUGUUAAGGAUAUGAGGAGGAAGACGCAGUGAACUGAAACAUCUAAGUAGCUGCAGGAAGAGAAAGCAAAAGCGAUUGCCUUAGUAGCGGCGAGCGAAACGGCAGAAGGGCAAACCGAAGAGUUUACUCUUCGGGGUUGUAGGACUGCAAUGUGGACUCAAAGACUAUAGAAGAAUGAUUUGGGAAGAUCAGCCAAAGAGAGUGAUAGCCUCGUAUUUAAAAUAGUCUUUGUACCUAGCAGUAUCCUGAGUACGGCGGGACACGUGAAAUCCCGUCGGAAUCUGGGAGGACCAUCUCCCAACCCUAAAUACUCCCUAGUGACCGAUAGUGAACCAGUACCGUGAGGGAAAGGUGAAAAGCACCCCGGG